ACCCAGACUCCUACGGGAGGCAGCAGUGGGGAAUAUUGCACAAUGGGGGAAACCCUGAUGCAGCGACGCCGCGUGAAGGAAGAAGUAUUUCGGUAUGUAAACUUCUAUCAGCAGGGAAGAAAAUGACGGUACCUGACUAAGAAGCCCCGGCUAACUACGUGCCAGCAGCCGCGGUAAUACGUAGGGGGCAAGCGUUAUCCGGAUUUACUGGGUGUAAAGGGAGCGUAGGCGGCGAUGCAAGUCAGAAGUGAAAGCCCGGGGCUCAACUCCGGGACUGCUCUUGGAACUGCGUGGCUGGAGUGCAGGAGGGGCAGGCGGAAUUCCUGGUGUAGCGGUGAAAUGCGUAGAUAUCAGGAGGAACACCGGCGGCGAAGGCGGCCUGCUGGACCGUGACUGACGUUGAGGCUCGAGAGCGUGGGGAGCAAACAGGAUUAGAUACCCCAGUA
rnacentral:rRNA from 1 species